rnacentral:lncRNA from 1 species
AGCUGAAGAUGCAAAGACUCCUCUCUAUGGAAAUGAUUUCUCUGCACUGAAGACAGCACGGCACAGAAAUCUGAAGAAUUACUGCUUGGAUUUACUCUCUCUUUAUGACUUUAAUAGAAGUUUUAAUUUAGUUUAUUUUAGACUGGCUGUUGAGGAUUUGAGGACGAGUUUAUCUGCACCUGUGGUCUGAUAUUUCUGUUUGUCUGUCUGCAUCUUUGUCCUAAAGGUUCCUGAAGAUUAACAUUAUGUUCACUUUUGCUUAAUUUGGAUUUGUAAAUUAUAAUUUGAAAAAUAAUUAUGUAACAGAAAACUCAAACAGAAAACUCAAAGUAGUUCAUUUUAAAGUGUAAAAAUUAAUGAGUUUGAUGUAGUUUUUGACCAUUUCUUGGCUCAGUGUUCAAAGUUUGAUCAAAUUAAAUAAAAAAAAAACUAAAUUUAUGUACCAAAUUCAAUUCACAUAACUAUAAAUUAAUCUUACUUAUAUAAUUCUGAUAUUUUUUCUAUAUUUUCAUACAAAAAUUGGACUUUUCUUCAGUCAGACGCUUGUUCAGAGUGCAGGAGGUUUUUGUACGACGGCUUAAUGUGUUUGUAUCACUGUGGUACACUUUUGGUGGAGGAACCAAACUGGUCGUUGACUGUAAGUACCUGAAAUUUUUAUUAAUAACUAUUCAUAGAAAAUAAAAAUGUUUUCAUAUUUUUAAUAUGACUGAUAUAAGUUUGAUUUUCUAAAUUGUUGAAUAUUUUUGUCAUUAUUUGAAGAAAAGCUGAACUCUCAACCUGAGAACGUAGAUAAGAAGCUCGUACUAAAUUUAGAAAACACAUUAAAAUUUUAAUUUUCUGAUUUAAAAUGAUUUAAAAAAAAAAAAAAAAAAAAGCAAAAAACAUGUAUUUUUAUAAAUAUUGAGUAAUAGUAUUGUUAGGUCCAGUAUUUCAGAGUUGUUGAUUUUAAUGUUUUUUUUAUGUUGUCUGACAAUCUGGGAACAAACACGACAGAGAUCAAAAUUCAGUCAGUUUGUUUAUUUCUAAAGUAAAAGAAAAAGACAGUUUAGUAGUUUUUAAAUUUAUCUGAAUGUGACUCUUUAUCUAAAAAUCUGACUGGAAAUUUGGUCAGCUAGAUUAUUUUAGGUGGGCUGAUAUGAUUACAUGAUAAUUUUAUUUCAUUUAAAGAGAGUUUUAGAUUGAAAGUGUGAAUUCUGGUGAAGACUAAAAAUACUUCAUCAGUUAAAACAGCUCCUCUCUGUGUUCAUGGUUCAUUUCAUUCAUGCUGAGUUUAAAGGAAGUGAAAGAGAGCGAGGAUUAAAGUUAGACUUUCACAUGUCAAAUUAAAGUUGAUCUCUGUCACAUGUUGUAAAUAUGCAUGAAGACAUUAUUGAUAAUCUUCAUGAACUGAUGAUGGAUUAGCUUUAGUGAUUUAUAACAGCACAGAUGUUUAAGUUUGUCUCUUUUAUCUGAUUAAGAAUCAAAAAUAACCACUAUGUCGGUUUCUUUUCUCCCCCCUCCAGUGGGAGUAACACAGCCCUCCCUGACCAUCAUCCCCCCCCCGCUCAAAGGAGCUGCAGCAGGGCAAGGCCACACUGGUGUGUCUGGCCAGUGGGGGCUUCCCCCCAUCCUGGAGUCUGGGCUGGAAGGUGGGGAGCCGCAGUAGCUCCUCAGGGGUGUCCCACGGCCUGGCGGUCCCGCAGGAGGACGGCCGCUACAGAUGGAGCAGCACCCUGAGCCUGUCUGCAGAGGAGUGGAGGAAGGCGGGCUCAGUGAGCUGUGAGGCCAGUCUGAGUGGACAGAGCCCUGUCACUCAAAGUCUGGAUCCUCAGCUCUGCUCGGAGUAGAGCUUCAGCAACAUUUUCAGUCUGGAAAUGAUGACAGAUCUCCUCUGCUUUAACUUCUGCAUGUUCAUUUUUCUGCUUUUACUCUUCAAAUAAAACUAAAUACAUUUGAAAUCAGUCCAAGAGAAAGUUUCUAUUCCUUAAUGAUGUAGCAUGAACUUGAAAUCAACAUUAAAUCAAAGAUCAGAUGAUGAUGAGUCUGUGUCUUUUCAUUCAUAUUAUGACUUUUCAAUUCUUUCACUUCUUCAUAAGACUAUCUUUCCUGGUGUUAUAAUAAACCUGAUACCAAAGGGAAUUACUGAGUUUAUAAAAACUGUUAUCAAAUGUUCAAAUAAAGGAGCAUCUGUGAGUUUC